GAUGAAGAACGUAGCGAAAUGCGAAAAGUAAUGUGAAUUGCAGAAUUCAGUGAACCAUCGAAUCUUUGAACGCACAUUGCGCCCGCUGGAACUCCGGCGGGCACGCCUGUCCGAGCGUCAUUUCAACCCUCAGGCCCCCCUUCGCGGGCGGGCCUGGUGUUGGGGCCCGGCCGCUACCCUGCGGCCGUCCCCUAAAUUCAGUGGCGGCCUCGCCGUGAUCCCUUGCGUAGUAAUGCACCUCGCACCGGAGAGCGCCGUGGCCACGCCGUAAAACCCCCAAUUUUCAAUGGUUGACCUCGGAUCAGGUAGGAAUACCCGCUGAACUUAAGCAUAUCAAUAAGCGGAGGA
rnacentral:misc_RNA from 1 species